GUUCUCGUGGCCUAGUGGUUAUGGCAUCUGUCUUACAAGGCGUGCCCGAUCAGUGGACCCCCAGUUCUCGCCUCUUAGAUUACAUAUGUAACAGACGCUCCCUGGCUAAAGUCCUCUGAGUAGACGGUAGACUCCUCGUCGAUCACAGAAGAUCCCCGGUUCGAACCCGGGCGGGAACA
rnacentral:tRNA from 1 species